AUACGUAGGUGGCAAGCGUUAUCCGGAAUUAUUGGGCGUAAAGCGCAUGUAGGCGGCCAAUUAAGUCUGAUGUGAAAGCUAGUGGCUCAACCACUAAAUUGCAUUGGAAACUGAUUGGCUAGAAUCUUGGAGAGGUAAGUGGAAUUCCAUGUGUAGCGGUGGAAUGCGUAGAUAUAUGGAGGAACACCGGUGGCGAAAGCGGUUUUCUAGUUUAUUCCUGACGCUGAGACGCGAGAGCAAGGGGAGCAAACAGGAUUAGAUACCCUGGUAGUCCUUGCCGUAAACGAUGCAUACUUGGUGUAGUUGGGCUCAACCCCGACUGUGCCGUAGCUAACGCGUUAAGUAUGCCACCUGGGGAGUACGCCCGCAAGGGUGAAACUCAAAAGAAUUGACGGGGCCCGCACAAGCAGUGGAGCAUGUGGUUUAAUUCGAUGCAACGCGAAGAACCUUACCCAGGCUUGACAUGUAGAGGACCGCACUAGAGAUAGUGUUUCCCGCAAGGG
rnacentral:rRNA from 1 species